rnacentral:rRNA from 1 species
CCUACGGGUGGCAGCAGUGGGGAAUUUUGGGCAAUGGGCGCAAGCCUGACCCAGCAACGCCGCGUGAAGGAAGAAGGCUUUCGGGUUGUAAACUUCUUUUAAGCGGGAAGAGCAGAAGACGGUCCCUCUUGAAUAAGCCACGGCUAACUACGUGCAAGCAGCCGCGGUAAUACGUAGGUGGCAAGCGUUGUCCGGAUUUACUGGGUGUAAAGGGCGUGCAGCCGGGAAGAAAAGUCAGGUGUUAAAUCCCGCGGCUCAACCGCGGAACUGCAUUUGAAACUGUUUUGCUUGAGUACCGUAGAGGUCAACGGAAUUCCUGGUGUAGCGGUGAAAUGCGUAGAUAUAAGGAAGAACACCAGUGGCGAAGGCGGAUGACUGGACGGCAACUGACGGUGAGGAGCGAAAGCGUGGGGAGCAAACGGGAUUAGAUACCCGAGUAGUC